rnacentral:rRNA from 1 species
UGGGUAGUUUGACUGGGGCGGUCUCCUCCUAAAGAGUAACGGAGGAGCACGAAGGUUGGCUAAUCCUGGUCGGACAUCAGGAGGUUAGUGCAAUGGCAUAAGCCAGCUUGACUGCGAGCGUGACGGCGCGAGCAGGUGCGAAAGCAGGUCAUAGUGAUCCGGUGGUUCUGAAUGGAAGGGCCAUCGCUCAACGGAUAAAAGGUACUCCGGGGAUAACAGGCUGAUACCGCCCAAGAGUUCAUAUCGACGGCGGUGUUUGGCACCUCGAUGUCGGCUCAUCACAUCCUGGGGCUGAAGUAGGUCCCAAGGGUAUGGCUGUUCGCCAUUUAAAGUGGUACGCGAGCUGGGUUUAGAACGUCGUGAGACAGUUCGGUCCCUAUCUGCCGUGGGCGCUGGAGAACUGAGGGGGGCUGCUCCUAGUACGAGAGGACCGGAGUGGACGCAUCACUGGUGUUCGGGUUGUCAUGCCAAUGGCACUGCCCGGUAGCUAAAUGCGGAAGAGAUAAGUGCUGAAAGCAUCUAAGCACGAAACUUGCCCCGAGAUGAGUUCUCCCUGAGACUUAAAGUCUCCUGAAGGAACGUUGAAGACGACGACGUUGAUAGGCCGGGUGUGUAAGCGCAGCGAUGCGUUGAGCUAACCGGUACUAAUGAACCGUGAGGCUUAACCCUACAACGCCGAAG